GGAAGGAAUAUAAUGGAGGGAGUGCGCCGUAUCUCGGCAAUGUAAAUUCUUGGCACCAGUGCAAGCACCUUUUAUUACUCUUUUCAAUUAGCGCGCCCUUCACCGCGCAUGCUUACUUUAAUAAUUUCAUCAGCCAGCACUGACCAGUGUCGUACGAUUCUGUUUUUGUCAUUUUCGCUUUUAACCUCGUGUUUAGUGUGAACGUUUUGUUUUGAAUUUGCGAUAAGCGUUUCAUGUUUAUUUAAAAACUUAAAAUGGUUAGUUGCAAAUUGUGUAAAGUUACGAGUGGCUCCAGGUCAACAAUUGGUAGAGAAAAAAUAACGUUUCACAGGUGUCCCCAGAAACCUGAAUUAAAGAAACUGUGGACAGACUUCCUUUAUCUUCACCUAGGAAAUUCUGUGUCUGUGAACAACUUUUUCCUGUGUUCAUUUCAUUUUGAAGAAAAGUGUUUUGAUAGAACAUCAGCCCAGAAAGUAGUUUUAAGACCACAUUCAGUACCAACUAUUUCUUAUACUUAUGAAGAAAGGAUUACCAAUGUAGUGACCUUUAGAGGCAAUGAAACGCAUCACACAGAAGUUUGUGACGCACCUUCGGUAGAGCCUCAACAGAAUAUAGAAGAUGAAUUGUCUAAUAAAGUUUUUGAAAUUACAAAGAAACUUGAAAAUUUAACAACAAAAACAUGUGCAAACGUUUUACUGAAACAACAAAUUAACAACCUGAAGACAUUAGUGU